ACUCCUACGGGAGGCAGCAGUAGGGAAUCUUCCACAAUGGGCGCAAGCCUGAUGGAGCAACACCGCGUGAGUGAAGAAGGGUUUCGGCUCGUAAAGCUCUGUUGUUAAAGAAGAACACGUAUGAGAGUAACUGUUCAUACGUUGACGGUAUUUAACCAGAAAGUCACGGCUAACUACGUGCCAGCAGCCGCGGUAAUACGUAGGUGGCAAGCGUUAUCCGGAUUUAUUGGGCGUAAAGAGAGUGCAGGCGGUUUUCUAAGUCUGAUGUGAAAGCCUUCGGCUUAACCGGAGAAGUGCAUCGGAAACUGGAUAACUUGAGUGCAGAAGAGGGUAGUGGAACUCCAUGUGUAGCGGUGGAAUGCGUAGAUAUAUGGAAGAACACCAGUGGCGAAGGCGGCUACCUGGUCUGCAACUGACGCUGAGACUCGAAAGCAUGGGUAGCGAGCAGGAUUAGAUACCCUGGUAGGAUAGCG
rnacentral:rRNA from 1 species